rnacentral:rRNA from 1 species
CGCGUAGGCGGCUUUAUAAGUCUGGAGUGAAAGUCCUCUUUUCAAGGGAGGAAUUGCUUUGGAAACUAUAGAGCUUGAGUGCAGGAGAGGUUAUCGGAAUUCCCGGUGUAGCGGUGAAAUGCGUAGAUAUCGGGAGGAACAUCGGUGGCGAGGGCGGGUAACUGGACUGCAACUGACGCUGAGGCGCGAAAGUGUGGGGAGCAAACA